rnacentral:rRNA from 1 species
UAGGGAAUCUUCGGCAAUGGGGGCAACCCUGACCGAGCAACGCCGCGUGAGUGAAGAAGGUUUUCGGAUCGUAAAUCUCUGUUGUAAGAGAAGAACGUGUGUGAGAGUGGAAAGUUCACACAGUGACGGUAACUUACCAGAAAGGGACGGCUAACUACGUGCCAGCAGCCGCGGUAAUACUUAGGUCCCGAGCGUUGUCCGGAUUUAUUGGGCGUAAAGCGAGCGCAGGCGGGUUAAUAAGACUGAAGUUAAAGGCAGUGGCUUAACCAUUGUUCGCUUUGGAAACUGUUAUACUUGAGUGCAGAAGGGGAGAGUGGAAUUCCAUGUGUAGCGGUGAAAUGCGUAGAUAUAUGGAGGAACACCGGUGGCGAAAGCGGCUCUCUGGUCUGUAACUGACGCUGAGGCGCGAAAGCGUGGGGAGCAAACAGG